rnacentral:rRNA from 1 species
GACGAACGCUGGCGGCGUGCUUAACACAUGCAAGUCGAACGGUAAGGCUCCAGCUUGCUGGGGUACACGAGUGGCGAACGGGUGAGUAACACGUGGGUGACCUGCCCUGCACUUCGGGAUAAGCCUGGGAAACUGGGUCUAAUACCGGAUAGGACCGCACCGUGAGGGUGUGGUGGAAAGUUUUUUCGGUGUGGGAUGGGCCCGCGGCCUAUCAGCUUGUUGGUGGGGUAAUGGCCUACCAAGGCGGCGACGGGUAGCCGGCCUGAGAGGGUGGACGGCCACAUUGGGACUGAGACACGGCCCAGACUCCUACGGGAGGCAGCAGUGGGGAAUAUCGCACAAUGGGCGGAAGCCUGAUGCAGCGACGCCGCGUGGGGGAUGACGGCCUUCGGGUUGUAAACUCCUUUCACCAUCGACGAAGGGUUUCUGACGGUAGAUGGAGAAGAAGCACCGGCUAACUACGUG